UACGUAGGUGGCAAGCGUUGUCCGGAUUUACUGGGCGUAAAGAGCGCGCAGGCGGUCGUUCAAGUCGCGUGUGAAAGCCCCCGGCUCAACUGGGGAGGGUCACGCGAUACUGAUCGACUGGAAGGCAGGAGAGGGAUGUGGAAUUCCAGGUGUAGCGGUGAAAUGCGUAGAUAUCUGGAGGAACACCGGUGGCGAAGGCGGCAUCCUGGACCGGUAUUGACGCUGAGGCGCGAAAGCUAGGGGAGCAAACGGG
rnacentral:rRNA from 1 species